rnacentral:rRNA from 1 species
GAUGAACGCUGGUGGCGUGCCUAAUACAUGCAAGUCGAGCGAACAGAUGAGGAGCUUGCUCCCCUGACGUUAGCGGCGGACGGGUGAGUAACACGUGGAUAACCAACUUAUAAGACUGGGAUAACUUCGGGAAAACGGAGCUAAUACCGGCUAAUAUAUUGUACCGGAUGGUUCAAUAGUGAAAGACGGCUUUGGUGUCACAUAGAGAUGGAUCCGCGCCGGAUUAGCUAGUUGGUAAGGUAACGGCCUACCAAGGCAACGAAGCGUAGCCGACCUGAUGGGGUGAUCGGCCAACCUUGGACUGAGGCACGGUCCAAGCUCCUACGGGAAGGAACAGUAGGGAAUCUUCCGACAUGGGCGGAAGCCUUGCGGAGCAACGCCGCGUGAGUGAAAGAGGUCUUCGGAUCUUUAAACUCUGUUAUUAGGGAAAAACAAAUGUGUAAGUAACUAUGCGCGUCUUGACGGUACCUAAUCAGAAAACCACCGCUAACUACGUG